rnacentral:rRNA from 1 species
GGGGGACGAACCGUGGGAAACUACGGCUAUUACCGCAUGAUACCUGAGGGUCAAAGGCGCAAGUCGCCUUAGGAGGAGCCUGCGUCUGAUUAGCUUGUUGGUGGGGUAAAGGCCUACCCAAGGCUCCGAUCGGUAGCUGGUCUGAGAGGAUGAUCAGCCACAUUGGGACUGAGACACGGCCCAAACUCCUACGGGAGGCAGCAGUGGGGAAUAUUGGACAAUGGGCGCAAGCCUGAUCCAGCAAUGCCGCGUGGGUGAAGAAGGUCUUCGGAUUGUAAAGCCCUUUUGGCGGGGACGAUGAUGACGGUACCCGCAGAAUAAGCUCCGGCUAACUUCGUG